UAGGGAAUUUUCGGCAAUGGGGGCAACCCUGACCGAGCAACGCCGCGUGAGUGAAGAAGGUCUUCGGAUUGUAAAGCUCUGUUGUAAGGGAAGAAAGGCACUGAUUAAGUCAGUGAUUGACGGUACCUUACCAGAAAGCCACGGCUAACUACGUGCCAGCAGCCGCGGUAAUACGUAGGUGGCAAGCGUUAUCCGGAAUUAUUGGGCGUAAAGGGUGCGCAGGCGGUUAAUUAAGUCUGAGGUAAAAGACUGAAGCUCAACUUCAGCACGCCUUGGAAACUGGUUGACUAGAGUGCAGGAGAGGGUAGUGGAAUUCCAUGUGUAGCGGUAAAAUGCGUAGAUAUAUGGAGGAACACCAGUGGCGAAGGCGGCUACCUGGCCUGUAACUGACGCUCAUGCACGAAAGCGUGGGGAGCAAAUA
rnacentral:rRNA from 1 species